GACGCCGCGUGAGGGAAGAAGGUCUUCGGAUCGUAAACCUCUGUCAGAAGGGAAGAAGUGAUACACGGUCAAUAUCCGUGUAUUUUGACGGUACCUUCAGAGGAAGCACCGGCUAACUCCGUGCCAGCACCUUCGGUGACUGAGCGGGCUGGCAAGGCGCAUA
rnacentral:rRNA from 1 species